GGCCGGUCUCCGUGCUUUUUUACGUCCCAUAUCUUAACUUGCUUUGUAUGGAAUGUAAAGAAGUAUGGAGUCUGGUC
rnacentral:pre_miRNA from 1 species